AUCUUCGGCAAUGGGCGCGAGCCUGACCGAGCGACGCCGCGUGUGCGAUGAAGGCCCUUCGGUUGUAAAGUACUGUCGAGAGGAAGCAAGCCGCAAGGUUGAGCGACCUCUGGAGGAAGCACGGGCUAAGUUCGUGCCAGCAGCCGCGGUAAGACGAACCGUGCGAACGUUGUUCGGAAUCACUGGGCUUAAAGGGCGCGUAGGCGGGAUGGCAAGUCGGAGGUGAAAGCCCCCAGCUUAACUGGGGAAGUGCCCUCGAUACUGCCGUUCUCGAGAGAGGUAGGGGCGUGUGGAACUUCCGGUGGAGCGGUGAAAUGCGUAGAUAUCGGAAGGAACGCCGGUGGCGAAAGCGAUGCGCUGGACCUUUUCUGACGCUGAGGCGCGAAAGCCAGGGUAGCGAACGGGAUUAGAUACCCCGGUAGUCCUGGCCCUAAACGAUGGGUACUGGGUUGCGGGUCAGACAUGGACUCGCAGCCGAAGCAAAAGUGGUAAGUACCCCGCCUGGGGAGUAUGGUCGCAAGGCUGAAACUCAAAGGAA
rnacentral:rRNA from 1 species